rnacentral:lncRNA from 1 species
UUACAUUUCAAUAUCUCCAUAAUUGGCCAUAGGCUUUAAUGACAUUGAACUCCUUCUUUCUCUGUUGCUUCAGGCUUGUCCAUAGAAGUAAAUAUUCGCAUGAUUUUAACUUUCCAAACUGGCCCGAAAUAAUUUGUCUUAACUAUUGUCAAAUUAUUACCCACUUUGUAAAGCUGUGUUCAGUUUCUUCUCCUCAAUGAAAACGUUCAUGGUCAUAUAAAAAUAUGAUUACAAUUUUUCUCACUCUCUGAGUUACCUUGUAUUUUAUAAUAUUUUCAUGUAAGAAAAUGAGCUGUCCAUUUUAAAUGUCCAUCAUAAUUCUUCAAAUAAUGUUUAUAAAAUUAUACUCACUGGCUAGUAAUAUGCAGUUUGGCAACAGAAUGAGACUAUAUACAAAUUAAUAAAGUCAGUUGUUGGUCACAGUUAACAAUAAUUUUUCAUAAGCUUGGAGUUGAGGAAAUUCAAAGGCACUCAGUAUUUUUUUAAAUUAAGAAUUGCAAGAAGAAAGAGACAGAAAAUGAGUAUGUUAUUCAAAAUGAAAAGAUCAAUGCAAUCAUCCAAACCCAGUUAAGACUGUGUAACAGUGCAAAACAAGGUGUUUCUAAUAUUUCUAGAAUAUCACUGUCUUUCCCUUAUAGUAGGCUCAAGAUUUCUUUAAAUGACGUAGGGAAAGUAACUUUCCAUCGGCAAGACAGAAAAUAGCUAUUGGGAG